GACAGAGGGUGCGAACGUUGCUCGGAAUUACUGGGCGUAAAGCGCGUGUAGGCGGGUGAUCAAGUCAGGUGUGAAAUCCCCAGGCUCAACCUGGGAACUGCACUUGAAACUGGUCGCCUUGAGUGUUGGAGAGGGAAGCGGAAUUCCUGGUGUAGAGGUGAAAUUCGUAGAUAUCAGGAGGAACACCGGUGGCGAAGGCGGCUUCCUGGACAAUUACUGACGCUGAGACGCGAAAGCGUGGGGAGCAAACAGG
rnacentral:rRNA from 1 species